GGAUCAGCUUUUUACUUGUUAGCUUAAAGGUGCAAUAUUAUCUAGCAGCAACGCUGGUUGCUGCUAGUUCUGGGAGAAGCCCUCAGAACUAACACUUGAAAAAUGAAUAAGACUUUGUCACUAAUCCAACUUCAAAUGGAUCAAAUGAUUCAAAAUUACAAAAAUACUAAUCAUUUUAGGCUCAAUCUUUAGCUGGAAAAUAGAGAUAAUUCACGUGUACUGUUCAACAAGCAAUUAUUCAUAUAGUUUCUCAAGUACUCAAUUCUAACCAAGAACAUGGUGUCCUGUGGUGUCUACAGUAGAAUAAACAGUAAAGCCUUGUACUUCAAUAAUAGAUCCUCCAGGGGAAAAAAUUAUUCUAAGUGGAUUUAUGUGUAGAGAUGGUUUUAAGUGAUGUUCCUAUCUCUUUAGCACUAAAUCAGUGGCAGUAACUAUUGAGGAGGAAGCAAGAAAGAAGCCAAGAUCCACAGUGGCUGCUUCCAAGUUGCAUAUGGACUAGUUGCUUGUGGCAGGGAGAGACAUGGGUUCCGAAAUCCAGUCUGUUCUUUGGAGGGGCCUGACCAUGGCUGUGACUCCACGGUGCUAUUCUAGAUAGAUUAAUUCAGACUUUGCUUGGUUUUGCAUCCUAAGAUUGCGUUAUAGAAAGAGGAGAAUGAAGGCCAGGCACGGUGGUUCACGCCUGUAAUCCCGGCACUUGGGAGGCCAAGGCGGGCGGAUCACAAGGCCAGGAGAUGGAGACCAUCCUGGCUAACACGGUGAAACCCCGUCUUUUUACUAAAAAUACAAAAAAUUAGCCAAGCGUUGUGGCAGGUGCCUGUAGUCCCAGCUACUCAGGAGGCUAAGUCAGGAGAAUGGCGUGAACCUGGGAGUCAGAGGUUGCCGUGAGCCAAGAUCACGCCACUGCACUCCAGCCUGGGUGACA
rnacentral:lncRNA from 1 species